GACGAACGCUGGCGGCGUGCCUAAUACAUGCAAGUCGAACGCUUUUUUUCUCACCGAAGCUUGCUUCAACGAGAGAAAAGGAGUGGCGGACGGGUGAGUAACACGUGGGUAACCUGCCCAUUAGAGGGGGAUAACACUUGGAAACAGGUGCUAAUACCGCAUAAUUCCAGCAACCGCAUGGUCGCUGGAUAAAAGACGCUUCGGUGUCACUAAUGGAUGGACCCGCGCUGCAUUAGUUAGUUGGUGGGGUAACGGCCUACCAAGACCGUGAUGCAUAGCCGACCUGAGAGGGUGAUCGGCCACACUGGGACUGAGACACGGCCCAGACUCCUACGGGAGGCAGCAGUAGGGAAUCUUCGGCAAUGGACGAAAGUCUGACCGAGCAACGCCGCGUGAGUGAAGAAGGUUUUCGGAUCGUAAAACUCUGUUGUUAGAGAAGAACAAGUGAGAGAGUAACUGUUCUCACCUUGACGGUAUCUAACCAGAAAGCCACGGCUAACUACGUGCCAGCCGCCGCCGUAACAC
rnacentral:rRNA from 1 species